AUCCUAACUAUAAAUUCAUGUGAGCUUGCCUAGCAAAAACAAUUGAACAUUCAUCUAAGCCUUAUCUCCUCCAGCACCUAAAUUCUAACAGAAUCGAUGUUGCUCUUACAACAAACCAAGCAAUUGGGUGAAGCAAUAGUCUAAGGAUGCCAAUUUGGAGCGGCUUCCCUCGUAAACUCUGGUUUAUUUCCUUUUGCUUGGUUGCUAUGAGAAACAGAAAAUAAUACAAAAUUAUUGUUUUACUGUUUCAAUCACAAAUCUUAAACAGUAAAAACCUUUAGAAACAAACUCAUCCAGUGAGAGUUUGAUCAAUUUUAUAUUGAAUUUUUCAGUUAUAUAAUCUGAUAAGCAAAUAUAGUAAUAUUUUUUUGUGAGGUAUAUAAUUAUUCACAUGUCCUUUCUGAAUACAAUUGCUGAUCAUGAAGAAAUGCCAAAACUUUUAGGUUCUAAUUAACCAGGGAUUAAUUUAACUUGUCUCUUGCGUUAUCAAUGCUAAUUGGGUACGAGUCAAGCCAUGAUCUCUUCCCUCUGCAUUAUGAGUUGUAAAGCAAUUCCAUCAACGUAUGGGAGCAUCCCAAGCUGCUGUCAAUCAAAAAGACAAGUACAAUUUCUCUCUCUGGAUUCUUUAAGAGGAUUAGAGGAAAGUCGUAAAAUUUUGUAUGGGCUCAUCUCUGCUGGCUCUGCAAUAUUCAACUAAAUUGUCAUGUGCCUGUGUUUCUGUGGACCCCAAAAUUAAAUGCAGGGAAACUUUUCUUACCAA